CCGACAUUUUGUUGUUUUGUGCGGUAAAGCGAAUGAUUAGUGCAUUUGGGGUCUGAUAGACUUCAGGCGAUUCUCAAACUUUAAAUGCGCAAGGGGGUGGCUGCUUAAUUGAGCCUACUCUUUGAAAAACGUCGGCCCUGUGGGCCACUUUUGGUAAGCAGAACUGGCGAUAAGGGAUGAACCUUAAGCGAGGUUAAGGCGCCGCAUUGCCCGCUUAUAGACCCCACAAAAGGUGUUGAUUCAUAUAGACAGCAGGACGGUGGCCAUGGAAGUCGGAAUCCGCUAAGGAGUGUGUAACAACUCACCUGCCGAAUGAAUUAGCCCUGAAAAUGGAUGGCGCUGAAGCGGGCAGCCGACACCUCGCCGUUCCGGCGAGACGAUGCCGGGAUGAGUAGGAGGGCGUGGCGGUCAGUGACGCAGGCGAGGGUGCAGACCCCGCUGAAACGGCCGCUAGUGCAGAUCUUGGUGGUAGUAGCAAAUAUUCAAGCGAGAUCCUUGAAGGGCGAAGCNGGGAAGGGUUCCACGCAAACAUUGAUUGGGCGUGGGUGAGUCGUUCCUAAGCCGAGUGGCAAUUGCUAAGUAGCGGCGAAAGGGAAGCGGGUUAAAAUUCCCGCACACGGAUAUGGAGGCGGCGACGCAAGCAGAGGCAAAUACGCUGGCGAGGGCGCUGGACAGAGUUGUCUUUUCUGUUUGACCGGCAUCGUGCUGUGUGGAAUCCGCUUAUCGGGAGAAACACGCACGGGGAGGGGCAGAGCGUCAGGUCUUUUCUGGCGUCCGGCUCGCCCUCGACGGCCCUUGAAAAUUUGCCCGCGAAUUUUAAAUUUCAUGCUGUGACGUACCGAUAACCGCAUCAGGUCCCCAAGGUGAACAGCCUCUGCUCAAUAUGAACAAUGCAGGUAAGGGAAGUCGGCAAAAUAGACCCGUAACUUUGGGAAAAGGGUUGGCUCUAGUGGAGCGGGGG
rnacentral:rRNA from 1 species